UAAGGUCGAUUGAGGUUUAAAUUUGUAUAUCAUCCGAUUGGCUUUCAAACUAUCUAGGGCAUGGACACGGGCUAUUAGCUCAGGUGGUUAGAGCGCACCCCUGAUAAGGGUGAGGUCCCUGGUUCGAGUCCAGGAUGGCCCACCUUUAGAAGAGGAAAAAAAGAAGUAAUUUUACUCUUUUGAACUCCGUUUUAACUUUUCCUGGGGGUUUAGCUCAGUUGGUAGAGCGCCUGCUUUGCAAGCAGGAUGUCAACGGUUCGAGUCCGUUAACCUCCACUGGGGCUAGAGCGUAUUCCGCUACUUGUUCCAGCAUCUCAUUUCAAGUAAGGUUGGGUUAAUUGAGAGAGACUGCUGGAAGAUUAUCCAGUUAGAACCUUGAAAACUGCAUAGUAACUUGUCAGGUAGAAAUAGUAGAUAGUGAAUGUUUUUAGUAGUGAUGCUAGGAGCUAUUCAUUAAUUACUGAAUCACAGACACCAAUGUAUAACUUUCUAAAAGUUAGAAAUAGU
rnacentral:tRNA from 1 species